rnacentral:rRNA from 1 species
AGAUUAAGUUAUUAAGGGCGCACGGUGGAUGCCUUGGCACUAGAAGCCGAUGAAGGACGUUACUAACGACGAUAUGCUUUGGGGAGCUGUAAGUAAGCUUUGAUCCAGAGAUUUCCGAAUGGGGAAACCCAGCAUGAGUUAUGUCAUGUUAUCGAUAUGUGAAUACAUAGCAUAUCAGAAGGCACACCCGGAGAACUGAAACAUCUUAGUACCCGGAGGAAGAGAAAGAAAAUUCGAUUCCCUUAGUAGCGGCGAGCGAAACGGGAAGAGCCCAAACCAACAAGCUUGCUUGUUGGGGUUGUAGGACACUCUAUACGGAGUUACAAAGGACGACAUUAGACGAAUCAUCUGGAAAGAUGAAUCAAAGAAGGUAAUAAUCCUGUAGUCGAAAAUGUUGUCUCUCUUGAGUGGAUCCUGAGUACGACGGAGCACGUGAAAUUCCGUCGGAAUCUGGGAGGACCAUCUCCUAAGGCUAAAUACUCUCUAGUGACCGAUAGUGAACCAGUACCGUGAGGGAAAGGUGAAAAGCACCCCGGAAGGGGAGUGAAACAGAACCUGAAACCGUGUGCUUACAAGUAGUCAGAGCCCGUUAAUGGGUGAUGGCGUGCCUUUUGUAGAAUGAACCGGCGAGUUACGAUUUGAUGCAAGGUUAAGCAGUAAAUGUGGAGCCGUAGCGAAAGCGAGUCUGAAUAGGGCGUUUAGUAUUUGGUCGUAGACCCGAAACCAGGUGAUCUACCCUUGGUCAGGUUGAAGUUCAGGUAACACUGAAUGGAGGACCGAACCGACUUACGUUGAAAAGUGAGCGGAUGAACUGAGGGUAGCGGAGAAAUUCCAAUCGAACCUGGAGAUAGCUGGUUCUCUCCGAAAUAGCUUUAGGGCUAGCCUCAAGUGAUGAUUAUUGGAGGUAGAGCACUGUUUGGACGAGGGGCCCCUCUCGGGUUACCGAAUUCAGACAAACUCCGAAUGCCAAUUAAUUUAACUUGGGAGUCAGAACAUGGGUGAUAAGGUCCGUGUUCGAAAGGGAAACAGCCCAGACCACCAGCUAAGGUCCCAAAAUAUAUGUUAAGUGGAAAAGGAUGUGGCGUUGCCCAGACAACUAGGAUGUUGGCUUAGAAGCAGCCAUCAUUUAAAGAGUGCGUAAUAGCUCACUAGUCGAGUGACACUGCGCCGAAAAUGUACCGGGGCUAAACAUAUUACCGAAGCUGUGGAUUGUCCUUUGGACAAUGGUAGGAGAGCGUUCUAAGGGCGUUGAAGCAUGAUCGUAAGGACAUGUGGAGCGCUUAGAAGUGAGAAUGCCGGUGUGAGUAGCGAAAGACGGGUGAGAAUCCCGUCCACCGAUUGACUAAGGUUUCCAGAGGAAGGCUCGUCCGCUCUGGGUUAGUCGGGUCCUAAGCUGAGGCCGACAGGCGUAGGCGAUGGAUAACAGGUUGAUAUUCCUGUACCACCUAUAAUCGUUUUAAUCGAUGGGGGGACGCAGUAGGAUAGGCGAAGCGUGCGAUUGGAUUGCACGUCUAAGCAGUAAGGCUGAGUAUUAGGCAAAUCCGGUACUCAUUAAGGCUGAGCUGUGAUGGGGAGAAGACAUUGUGUCUUCGAGUCGUUGAUUUCACACUGCCGAGAAAAGCCUCUAGAUAGAAAAUAGGUGCCCGUACCGCAAACCGACACAGGUAGUCAAGAUGAGAAUUCUAAGGUGAGCGAGCGAACUCUCGUUAAGGAACUCGGCAAAAUGACCCCGUAACUUCGGGAGAAGGGGUGCUCUUUAGGGUUAACGCCCAGAAGAGCCGCAGUGAAUAGGCCCAAGCGACUGUUUAUCAAAAACACAGGUCUCUGCUAAACCGUAAGGUGAUGUAUAGGGGCUGACGCCUGCCCGGUGCUGGAAGGUUAAGAGGAGUGGUUAGCUUCUGCGAAGCUACGAAUCGAAGCCCCAGUAAACGGCGGCCGUAACUAUAACGGUCCUAAGGUAGCGAAAUUCCUUGUCGGGUAAGUUCCGACCCGCACGAAAGGCGUAACGAUUUGGGCACUGUCUCAACGAGAGACUCGGUGAAAUCAUAGUACCUGUGAAGAUGCAGGUUACCCGCGACAGGACGGAAAGACCCCGUGGAGCUUUACUGUAGCCUGAUAUUGAAAUUCGGCACAGCUUGUACAGGAUAGGUAGGAGCCUUUGAAACGUGAGCGCUAGCUUACGUGGAGGCGCUGGUGGGAUACUACCCUAGCUGUGUUGGCUUUCUAACCCGCACCACUUAUCGUGGUGGGAGACAGUGUCAGGCGGGCAGUUUGACUGGGGCGGUCGCCUCCUAAAAGGUAACGGAGGCGCUCAAAGGUUCCCUCAGAAUGGUUGGAAAUCAUUCAUAGAGUGUAAAGGCAUAAGGGAGCUUGACUGCGAGACCUACAAGUCGAGCAGGGUCGAAAGACGGACUUAGUGAUCCGGUGGUUCCGCAUGGAAGGGCCAUCGCUCAACGGAUAAAAGCUACCCCGGGGAUAACAGGCUUAUCUCCCCCAAGAGUUCACAUCGACGGGGAGGUUUGGCACCUCGAUGUCGGCUCAUCGCAUCCUGGGGCUGUAGUCGGUCCCAAGGGUUGGGCUGUUCGCCCAUUAAAGCGGUACGCGAGCUGGGUUCAGAACGUCGUGAGACAGUUCGGUCCCUAUCCGUCGUGGGCGUAGGAAAUUUGAGAGGAGCUGUCCUUAGUACGAGAGGACCGGGAUGGACAUACCUCUGGUGUACCAGUUGUCGUGCCAACGGCAUAGCUGGGUAGCUAUGUGUGGACGGGAUAAGUGCUGAAAGCAUCUAAGCAUGAAGCCCCCCUCAAGAUGAGAUUUCCCAACUUCGGUUAUAAGAUCCCUCAAAGAUGAUGAGGUUAAUAGGUUCGAGGUGGAAGCAUGGUGACAUGUGGAGCUGACGAAUACUAAUCGAUCGAAGACUUAAUCAAAUU